CAAUAGCGUAUAUUAAAGUUGUUGCAGUUAAAAGCUCGUAGUUGGAUUUCUGGGAGGGUGCCAAUGUCCGUCGUCGUACGUGUUGCAGCGGCGCCCUUCCAUCCUUCUGUUAACGACUUUGGGCAUUCAUUUGCCGGAGUCGGGCUCAGAUAUUUUACCUUGAGAAAAUUAGAGUGUUUCAGGCAGGCUAGGCCGGAAUACAUUAGCAUGGAAUAAUGGAAUAGGACUACGGUCUCUUUGUUGGUUUGAGGGACUGCAGUAAUGAUUAAUAGGGGAUAGUUGGGGGUGGCUAGUAUUCAGCGGUCCAGAGGGCUGAAAAUUCUUGGAUUCGCUGAAGACUAACUUAUGCGAAAGCAUUCACCAAGGAUGUCUUCUUUAAUCAAGAACGAAAAGUUGGGGGAUCGAAGACGAUCAGAUACC
rnacentral:rRNA from 1 species